rnacentral:rRNA from 1 species
UGUAGUCAUAUGCUUGUCUCUGAGACUAAGCCAUGCAUGUCUAAGUAUAAACAAAUUUGUACUGUAAAACUGCGGACGGCUCAUUAAAUCAGUUACAAUCUACUUGAUCGUAUAUUCAAAGAAUUAAUCGGGUAACCCUAGUAAUUCUAGAGCUAAUACGUGCAAAAAGCUCCGACCUCUUUUAACCGAGGGGAAAGAGUGUAUUUAUUAGGUAACUUAAAACCAAUCAGCCCAAAAGGCUGUUUUGUUGAUGAUUCAUAAUAACUUUGCAAAUCGCGGGCCAAUGUCUGCGAUGAUACAAACGAGUUUCUGACCUAUCAACUUUAGAUGGCAGGAUAGGGGCUUGCCAUGGUGACAACGGGUAACGGGGA